AUUGAACGCUGGCGGCAUGCUUUACACAUGCAAGUCGAACGGUAACAGGCCGCAAGGUGCUGACGAGUGGCGAACGGGUGAGUAAUGCAUCGGAACGUGCCCAGUCGUGGGGGAUAACGCAGCGAAAGCUGUGCUAAUACCGCAUACGAUCUGUGGAUGAAAGCGGGGGACCGAAAGGCCUCGCGCGAUUGGAGCGGCCGAUGUCAGAUUAGGUAGUUGGUGGGGUAAAGGCUCACCAAGCCAACGAUCUGUAGCUGGUCUGGGAGGACGACCAGCCACACUGGGACUGAGACACGGCCCAGACUCCUACGGGAGGCAGCAGUGGGGAAUUUUGGACAAUGGGCGCAAGCCUGAUCCAGCAAUGCCGCGUGCAGGAAGAAGGCCUUCGGGUUGUAAACUGCUUUUGUACGGAGCGAAAAGGCUCUCUCUAAUACAGGGGGCUCAUGACGGUACCGUAAGUAUAAGCACCGGCUAACUACGUGCCAGCAGCCGCCGCAGUAA
rnacentral:rRNA from 1 species